rnacentral:lncRNA from 1 species
AGGCCCUUAAAAUUUUUUAAAAAGAAAAAAAUUGUGUCUUUUUUAUUUCAUCUCCACAAAAUUAGAACCACAUUAAAUCCUAAUUGAAAUACCCAUAAUUUGUCCCAUGAUUUCAAUUGGUUGGUAGGUCUUAGGGUUUGGUUUUGAUGGCCACGCGGCCAAGGAUAUAGUUUCCUUGGCUGCGCGCGGCCAUGGAUUGGUAGAACAGCUAAGGGUUUGGUUUCCAUGCGCGGCCAUGGGUGGGGUUUGGUUGCCCUUGAAUUCUUAGAAUUUUUUUGGCCAUGGUAAGCAACUGUAAUUGAUAAUUGUUCAGAGUAUUCAAAUAUGAAAUUUUGACUUCAAAACUUAUUGGGUUAUGUUAAAACUUGCUUAGAUUUUAAUUAGAUUUUAAUUUUACUUUAGUUUUUAUUUACGUGUAGCUGAUUUGAAAUUAUUUAUUAACAAAAAAUUUUGGAGAGAGAAUGUUGCAUUUAUUUGUAGAAGAGAGUGAGUUUUAUUGGAUGAAGAUGAUGAACAGUAACAAAUGAAUUUUGAAAUUAAAUGAAGUCAAAUUAUGUUAAAGUACAUUUUUGUGAUAAUGCUCAUUUUAUCUAAUAAUAAAUACAUAAGAGUAAAAAAAUAAAAAGGUUUGACUUCUUCUGGUUAAUUGAUUAUUUCAAAUUGUAAAGAUAUUGUUUUACCCAUUUAACCAUUAAAAUUAAUAGAGAGAUGAUAAGUUUUGGUGCUAACUUAAGGUUUUUUUUUUAAAGUAAGGAACUAAUUUGAAGAUAGUUAAUUCAUGAGAGAGGUAAUCUAAAAUUUAUCAAAAGAAUACAAUAUUAUAAAAUACUCGUAUUGUACCCCUUAACAAAAAAAAAAUUAUCAAGAACAAUUAUUUUCAGAGAAAUGAUAUAUCUGCACAUUUGAGGUUACACAAAUUUUAAAUUAAGUGAUGUGAUAUCUAAAGUGAUAUAUUUAUUGAUAGGUGCUACAAAAUCAAGAGUAUAUUAAUUAUAAACAAUAAAUGUAAUUAGUAUCAUUUAGGAUAUAAAUUUUUACCUUAACUAUAUGAAUGUGAUAUUAUCAUUAACACUAUGAUAUAUGUGUAAUUAAGUAUUUUACCUACUUUAUACCUAAAGUAAGAGAGUGAAAAAAAAUGUUUCUUGUGUGUGUGUGUGUGUGUGUGUUGUCAUUCUCUAAUGAGGACAUUCUCAUUUUAACAAAGUGAAUAUGCCACUAAAAUAUUAAAAGAAAUAUAUACUUCAAUACAUUAGAGAUUGUGUUUUCUUUUCUGUUAAGAGCAAUCCUGAAUUUUAACAAAUACAGGAUCCUGGGUUGGAACAUUUAUUUAUAUACAUAUAUAAAGAGAAAGAGAGAGAGAGAACUUCUUCGAGGUAGGCGUUAAAAUGCGGAUUUCAUGUGGAUAGAGUUGAAAGACCCAAAAAAAGAAAGACUCCGAGGCACUAAAAAACCAAAAAAGUAACAUUUUUGUCUUUUAACUCCUUCUACAUAAAAUCUACAUUUUAGCAUCACACCUAAAUAGCUUUGUGUGUGUGUGUGUGUGUGUGUGUGUGUGUGUGUGUUGUCAUUCUCUAAUGAGGACAUUCUCAUUUUAACAAAGUGAAUAUGCCACUAAAAUAUUAAAAGAAAUAUAUACUUCAAUACAUUAGAGAUUGUGUUUUCUUUUCUGUUAAGAGCAAUCCUGAAUUUUAACAAAUACAGGAUCCUGGGUUGGAACAUUUAUUUAUAUACAUAUAUAAAGAGAAAGAGAGAGAGAGAACUUCUUCGAGGUAGGCGUUAAAAUGCGGAUUUCAUGUGGAUAGAGUUGAAAGACCCAAAAAAAGAAAGACUCCGAGGCACUAAAAAACCAAAAAAGUAACAUUUUUGUCUUUUAACUCCUUCUACAUAAAAUCUACAUUUUAGCAUCGCACCUAAAUAGCUUUGUGUGUGUGUGUGUGUGUGUGUGUGUGUGUGUGUGUGAGUUAUUCGCUACUGAGAGCAUCCUCAAUUUAUUAAAGUGAGAAUGUACAUUAAAAUAUAAAAAAUACAUAUUUUAUUAUAUUAAUAAAUAAAAAAAUACAGUUUAUGAUAUAUUAAAAUUUUUAUAUUUUUAUAUUAUAGUGGCGUCUUUACUUUAAUGAAGGAUGAUUUGGAUAGAAAAUAAUUUUAUAUAUACAUAUAGGAAAAUGAUAAGUAGACAAAUUUUAAUGGUUGAAACGAUAAACAUAAUGACAAAACGGCAAUAGUCUCACUUGCUUUUAUUAAAUUAAAAUAUUUAUGAAAAAAAAGGUUAAGAAUGUGUUCACCAGUCAAAUAGGUGCUUGUGAGCAAUUUCUAUUGGGAAUUUUGGUCUCAAAAUCAGCAAUCGAAUAUUUCAUGGGUAAUGUGGAAUAAAAGAGAAUAUCGUAAUUUAGUUGAAGUCAAAUCAACACCCCAAAAUAGAAAGCAGGUUAGUAAUGAGAAUUCGCCUGAAUGGGCUGUAUGAUGGGCAAUCAGAGAUUGUUAUUGUGGCUGUCAUUUCGUUACCUUUGAUGUUUUCCCGCAAUCAUGACAUCCUCGUCAUUUAGUGAAAUUCUGAAGGACCUAUUUGGUAUUUCAGCUAAAAAGGAAGCUACGUGCGUCACAAGUGGUAAAGCCUCACGCGUACGACACAGCCACGUGAAACCUAAACACACCACGUGGAGUCAGAACUAAGAAGUGGAAAGCGCAGCUAUUUUUUGUUGUCCAUUUUUUGAGUUUUACAAAGGUUUCCGAAUUGGGAAAUCUGAGAGCGCUCCGAAAAUAUCCCACAACUUUAGUGCGGCGAAAGCAUCACCCCAUCGCCAAUCUCUUUUUGGCAAAUUGCCAAUAACAAGUUGAUAAAUCUUCUCUCAAUGUCAAUGUUAUGGCUGUUUUUGUGUCUGAUUCUGAUUUCUGACAAAACUAAUAAGUUCCAAGUUGGGAACUGUCUACAAUCACAAACUCAUCUGAAAACCCACCAAAGAUGCUAUAUAUAUUACUAUGUCUAUUUCUAUAAUGGUGCGCUUUUUGAUUUUGGGUGUAGUUUAAUGUUAUUUUAGUCCAAGUUGCCAACAGAAUAUUCUAUAUCUUUUGGUAUACCCACAAACUAAUGUAAAGAAUAUAUGACGUAUGUAAAAUAAACAAGUAGUUUGAUUCUAUGACGUGUCUCUCUCUUACGCAUCGAUGAAUAGAAAAAUUAUACUUGUAAUCAAUCGAAUUAGCUAGUGGAAAACUUAGUUUAAUCAUUAGUAGGUAAUAGUUGAAUUUAUGGUACAUACUUUUGUAACUGUUUGGAUCUCUCUCUCUAUUCGGAGUGCUGUCCAUAUGCUUCGAUUGAUACUUAUGAGAUAUUACGAUAUUACUAGUAUUAAUCACGGAAGAGAAGUGUAACACAAAACUUUUAAAGAGAUCACCCAUCUUAACACUAUUUUGUUGUAGAGUUUUUCAUUAAUUAAUGCUGCCAAUCACACCCAUUUGGUAUUAAGUUGAUGAAUAACUAUGAUAGUGCUUUUCUUUGGCGGUAUAUUUUGAGAGUAUAAAUUGGGGUAAAUCCUCCUUUAAUUCCUAUGUUUUAACUUAAGUAACUAUUUAAUCUUUAUAUUUUGAAAAAUACUUCAAGAUGUCUUUAUUAUUAAAUACGUUACACUCUUAUCUUUACUUUUUCUUUUCUUUUACAAUAAUACCUUUAUAAUCUAUAAAAAAAUUAAUUAGCAAAUUAACUAGUUUUUACUUAUUAGCGAAUUAAGAGAUAAAUAUUAGUAUGAAAUAAGUGGUGUUUUUCAUAUAACUGCAACGGUCUUACUAAUUAUUAUUUAUAAAAAAUAUUAAGACCAGUUAAUUUAA